rnacentral:rRNA from 1 species
AUUGAACGCUGGCGGCAGGCCUAACACAUGCAAGUCGAACGGUAACAGGAAGAAGCUUGCUUCUUUGCUGACGAGUGGCGGACGGGUGAGUAAUGUCUGGGAAACUGCCUGAUGGAGGGGGAUAACUACUGGAAACGGUAGCUAAUACCGCAUAACGUCGCAAGACCAAAGAGGGGGACCUUCGGGCCUCUUGCCAUCGGAUGUUCCCAGAUGGGAUUAGCUAGUAGGUGGGGUAACGGCUCACCUAGGCGACGAUCCCUAGCUGGUCUGAGAGGAUGACCAGCCACACUGGAACUGAGACACGGUCCAGACUCCUACGGGAGGCAGCAGUGGGGAAUAUUGCACAAUGGGCGCAAGCCUGAUGCAGCCAUGCCGCGUGUAUGAAGAAGGCCUUCGGGUUGUAAAGUACUUUCAGCGGGGAGGAAGGGAGUAAAGUUAAUACCUGUGCUCAUUGACGUUACCCGCAGAAGAAGCACCGGCUAACUCCGU